rnacentral:rRNA from 1 species
AGCGAACGUUUGCGGCGGGCUUAACACAUGCAAAUCGAACGGGCUGUUCCUUCGGGGGCAGUCAGUGGCGCACGGGUGCGUAACACGUAGGUAAUCAACCCUCUGGUUGGGGAUAACACUUCGAAAGGAGUGCUAAUACCCGGUAUGGCGCAGCGGUCUUCGGAUCGCGGCGAGAAAGACCCGCAAGGGUUGCCAGAGGACGAGCCUGCGGCCCAUCAGCUAGUUGGCGAGGUAACGGCUCACCAAGGCGAAGACGGGUAGCUGGUCUGAGAGGAUGAUCAGCCACACUGGAACUGAGACACGGUCCAGACUCCUACGGGAGGCAGCAGUGGGGAAUAUUGCGCAAUGGGCGAAAGCCUGACGCAGCCACGCCGCGUGAGCGAUGAAGGCC